ensembl:snRNA U2 U2 spliceosomal RNA
AUUGCUUCUCAGCCUUUUGGCUAAGAUCAAGUGUAGAACAGAUUAAAAGCCAAAAUUAUUUUAUAACUUUCAGUAUUAUCUACCACAGAUUUUGCUCUGUUCUUAACAUGUGGGUUAUAGACCAGAUUGAUCUGGAAAAAAGUGUAUUUUCA